rnacentral:lncRNA from 1 species
GUAUGUGUUAGUUUUUUGAAGAAAAAAAAAGCAGUCAGCAUCAUGAUCAACUAAAGUUUGGUGCUUUCAAACGUAACGGCUGCAAAGUACACUUGGCCAGCCUACCAUAUGCAGCUUACACUAUAAAUAGUUAAAUACUCAUAUCACUAAUUUUAUGACUUCAAAAACAAUACAACUUUUCAUUCUCAUUUUUCUCUCAAACUUUAAUAUCUCUCCUCAAUUUCUUAUUUUGUUUCAUAUUUAAUUUUCUUUGUCACAAGAAUAUUUGUACCAACAUCAGCUUGAGUAAUUUUUUGCAUCAAGAGAGACCUCAGUUCUACAACCAGUCUUCUCUGACACAACAGAAAAGAAAAUAUCUUCAAGGUUUGUUUUCUUGUUUCUUUUUAUUUCUUUUUGUAGUUUUAUUAGCAUUAGAAUGUUAGCAACCAAAAAUAUACAUAAAUAUUAGAAUGUUAGUAACCAAAAGUAAAUAUUAAAAUUUUCAUGUAAUUCUUAAAAAAAAAAUUCAUAUAGUUAUUUUAAUCCAAAGUUGAAGUAGGCAAAUAGGUUUUGUAUAGUGUAUAUUCAAGGAUUCAUGAUAGAUUUGAUUUUCAUGUCUAAAAUGAUGGGGCCCUUCUUAUCUUCAUGGAAAUCCAUGACCAUAAGAAAAUCAUACAAUGGAUAGCUAUGGUAUAUAUGUGCAUUUAUGCUUUCACAAAAAAUUACUAUAAAUAUUACCUAUAUUUCUGGAGAUAAAUUUAAGAACUGAAAUUUCACAUCUUUGACAAAAAAAUAAAUAAAUUGGGAAGUAAUAGGAAGAAAAUUUUCCAGUGUUUUUAUUUUGUUUUUGAUUAGUUCUCCACUUAAACUAUUUUGGUGUCUCUGAGCUCACCAAUUGAACUAACUACGUGAGUAUUUUUUCUUGUUUUUGUUGGUUAUAGCUAACAUGAAGUCAUGAACCUUUCAUGAAAUGUUUAUGCCAAACAAAGGACAUUGUUUUUAUUUCUAUCAAAAAAGAUAAAGGCAAAAUUACACUUUUAGUCUCUUAAUUUAAUUUCAGGUAACAGUUUAGUCAUUUAUCUUUUUUUCAUUUUAAUUUGUUCCUUUUUGUCAAUUUUCAUAUGAAUUUUUAAGCUUAAAAUUCAUGAUUUUAUUUUCUUAUGGUCUUUCAAUCUUCAAUUCUAUGAUCCUUUGCAUAAGAAUAUUAGAUUUGAAGCUUGAAAAUGUACAUAAAAAUGGACAAAAAGGACCAAAUUGAAAUGAAAAAAAGAUAAAGGACCAAAUUGUUAUCUGAAAUUAAGUUAAGGGACGAAAAGUGUAAUUUUUCCAAAAAUAAAAUAUUUUGAAGAAAGUUGAUGAAUAUUUAAAGCUUGGUUGUUGUUGAAAAGUUGAUGAAUGUGAUUUUGUAUGUAGAAGAUUAUUAUAAGAUUUUUUAUUUUAUUUUUAAGAAGAUAUUAGUGGGUAGUUUUUUAUUAGUAGAGAUCGAAUUCUAGACCUUUACAUACUCCUUUCACGUUCCAACUCAUACAACUGAGUUACGCAUUCGGGACGAUUAUUUACGGUUUGUAACCAUAGUGAUGAUAAGAUAUAUGCAAGAUUAUUGUUCAACACAUCUAAUCUUCCUUUAUGGAUCUGGAUUUUGCAACCCUUUUAAUCUUUAAUAAAAAAAUUAAUAUAAACUAUUUAUAUGUUUUUCAGGUGUAGCAGCAUGGAAAAUCACAUAACACUUGAAAUCACAGAACAAGCUUCUCCAGAAAUUCCAUCACUAAUUAAGUAUAUAUCAACAAAUGAACUUGAUGGUUUUGAUGCAUUUGAAUCUCAAUUUCCCAGCCCAACUUCCAAAGUAAGGCUCUUUCUUAAGUAGAUUUUAUUGCUUAUGACAGAUUUUAGAGUCUUUUACAUUUGGAGACUGUCUUCAGCUUAUUUCUAUAAGUUUCCAGAAUGGCUUAUGAAAAAAGUUUGCAACUUAUUAAAUUAUGGGUUAAUAGUGAUUUAUCCCCUUGUAAUAUAGGCCAUUUUCGGGAUUGCACCUUAUAAAAAAAUAAUUGGAUUUGUUCCUUGUAGAAUAAUUUUUUUUUUUUGGUUUUCAACCUUCAUGGUAAAUUUCACACCCUGUAAUUUAAGAAAAUUUCAGUUUACCCCCUGUAAUAUGAGCAAAUUUCUGGGGAAAACACUAUUAACCCUUAAAAAAUUAUUUGACUUUAUUUUAUUAGUCAUUAUAGAAAUAAGCUCAGUUUUGUACCCAAAAAAAAAAAGAAAAAAAGAAAUAAGGUCAAUUUGGAUUGGUUUAUUUUAGCUUAUCUACUAACGUAAGCAUUUAUGUUUCGCACCCACUUGGAUUGAUCUGGUGGUAGUGUUGGUUUGAGACCUUAAAAUGUACUCCUUUUAAGUUCUCAAAUUCGAUUCUAUUUGAUGCCUACAAAAACACUUGUGUUCUGUAAAGUUUAUGAAAACAACUUAUGUCAAGUCCAUAAGCUCUUCAAAAUAUCUUACGAAUACAAUUUACGAAAAGUCCAUAACUUGUUUCCAGCUGUUUUUUCCAUGAAAUAUUUGGAAUAGUUAACGAAAACAACUUAUAGCUUGUACGAAAAUAACUAUGACAUGUCCAUAAGUUGACUUCAGGACUUAUUUCCAUAAGAUCUUUGUAAUAGUUUAACUAAAAACAACUUAUAACUUACAUGAAAAUAAUUUAACUUUAUUUUAUCUUUUCUUUUAAAAAUAGCUUAUAUUAAAAUUACAAACAUUGACACCACACACGACACAAACAAAGAAACAUUGACACCGAUAAUAAUUUUAGAAACGUCAUAAUUCAAUGUAAUCACAUGUGUUGGUCGUAUCGUUUCAGUAUCAAAUGUGAUACAUAUCCUAUUGGGACACGUCUAACCAGAGGACUAUCUGUGCUUAACUCUUUAUCCAAAGUCCAAACAACACUUUAUGACAUAACUAAAAUCUAACUUUUUUCAUGUUUGUUCAAUAGGAAACUGAGGAAGCAUCACCUACAAGCCAACAAGAUGAACCAUUAGUCAUCAAUCAUCAAAGAAAGCCUUCAAUUUCUAUAAGCAUGCCACUUUGUUAUGAAGAAACUCAACUUCAACCACAAAAUAACAACAACAAUGACAAGAAAGUUUUCUUUAGUGGAGAAACUGUUAUUAUCAAAGAUGAUUUUCCAUCUGGAAUUGCAAUGUCUGAGCCUCCAAGACAAUCAAAAUUUAAGUCUCAACCAAUGCCAAAAGGAGUUCCUUACCAAGAUGGUUCUCAAACUCAAAAGGCUAAUCAUAAUCAUAAUCAACCUGGAAUCAAGAUGUUUAGAGAUAAGACAUUCGACUCGUUUAAAACUUGGUCUGGUGGACUCGAGAGACAAUUAUCGAUUCUACGUGGAAAAGAACCGAUAGGAAAUACACAAGAUGGUAACAACACUCCAAGAAGCUUUGAUAGGCCUUUACCUGUUGAUAGGUAUUUUGAUGCAUUGGAAGGUCCAGAAUUAGAAACUCUUAAGUCAUCAGAAGAGAUAAUGCUACCUCAUGACAAACAAUGGCCGUUUCUUCUCCGGUUCCCCGUUUCAUCAUUCGGUAUAUGCCUCGGAGUUAGCAGCCAAGCAAUUCUUUGGAAAACCCUAGCCACAUCACCUUCGACUGAGUUUCUUCACAUAAGUCCCAAAAUAAACUUAAUCUUAUGGUACAUCUCCACAAUACUUAUAGCUACUGUUUUCGCUGUCUAUAUUCUCAAACUCCUUCUCUACUUUGAAGCAGUUCGUCGUGAGUACUACCAUCCGAU